UGAGGAAUAUUGGACAAUGGGCGCAAGCCUGAUCCAGCCAUGCCGCGUGAGUGAAGAAGGCCUUCGGGUUGUAAAGCUCUUUCAGGUGGAAAGAAAACGCAUAGGUUAAUACCUUGUGCGGAUGACGGUACCAUCAGAAGAAGCACCGGCUAACUACGUGCCAGCAGCCGCGGUAAUACGUAGGGUGCGAGCGUUAAUCGGAAUUACUGGGCGUAAAGCGUGCGCAGGCGGUUAUGUAAGACAGAUGUGAAAUCCCCGGGCUCAACCUGGGAACUGCAUUUGUGACUGCAUGGCUAGAGUACGGUAGAGGGAGAUGGAAUUCCGCGUGUAGCAGUGAAAUGCGUAGAUAUGCGGAGGAACACCGAUGGCGAAGGCAGCCUCCUGGGCCAGUACUGACGCUCAUGCACGAAAGCGUGGGGAGCAAACA
rnacentral:rRNA from 1 species